rnacentral:rRNA from 1 species
AUGAGCACACCCUACCACCCAGCUACAGACAACCAGAAGGAUUGCGUCAAUCAGUGUUUCCAGACAUUCUUACGCUACUUUGUCCACUCUUGCCCCAAGAAGUGGAGUUCAUGGUUGGCAUUGGCGGAGUAUUGGUUCAAUACCAGCUGGCACAACGCUCAUGGCAAGUCCCCCUUCUUUGUACUCUAUGACCAUGAUCCUCGGCAUUGGGGAAUCGAAGCAGUCGUCGACCUCAACACUUGGCUUUAUGAACAUGUGGAGAUGAUUGCUCUGAUCCGUCAACACUUGCUACGAGCACAAAUGCGUAUGAAGCAUCAGGCCGAUAAAGGGCGAUUUGAAAGAAUUUUUGCAGUUGGCGAUUCAGUCUACAUCAAGCUUCAACCUUAUGUGCAGAGUUCUGUCGCUCAGCGCACCUGCCAUAAAUUAUCUUUCUGCUACUUAGGCCCCUUCCUCAUCUAA